CCUACGGGAGGCAGCAGUGGGGAAUUUUGGACAAUGGGCGCAAGCCUGAUCCAGCCAUGCCGCGUGCGGGAUGAAGGCCUUCGGGUUGUAAACCGCUUUUGUCAGGGAAGAAACGCUCUGAGUUAAUACCUCGGGGUAAUGACGGUACCUGAAGAAUAAGCACCGGCUAACUACGUGCCAGCAGCCGCGGUAAUACGUAGGGUGCAAGCGUUAAUCGGAAUUACUGGGCGUAAAGCGUGCGCAGGCGGUCUUGUAAGACAGAGGUGAAAUCCCCGGGCUCAACCUGGGAACUGCCUUUGUGACUGCAAGGCUUGAGUGCGGCAGAGGGGGAUGGAAUUCCGCGUGUAGCAGUGAAAUGCGUAGAUAUGCGGAGGAACACCGAUGGCGAAGGCAAUCCCCUGGGCCUGCACUGACGCUCAUGCACGAAAGCGUGGGGAGCAAACAGGAUUAGAUACCCUGGUAGUCCACGCCCUAAACGAUGUCAACUGGUUGUUGGGAAGGUUCCUUCUCAGUAACGUAGCUAACGCGUGAAGUUGACCGCCUGGGGAGUACGGCCGCAAGGUUGAAACUCAAAUGAAUUGACGG
rnacentral:rRNA from 1 species